rnacentral:rRNA from 1 species
UCCGAAUGGACACUGUGCUGGCUUCUGAGUCGUCAUCUGACGCAAGCUUGAUCACACGAACUUCUGACCUAUCAGCUACGACUGUGGUGUAGCGGACCACGGUGGCUUUGACGGGUAACGGAGAAUUUGGGUUCGAUUCCGGAGAGGGAGCCUGAGAGACGGCUACCACUGCCAAGGCGGGCAGCAGGCGCGCAAAUUGCCCAAUGCCAAAGCUGGUGAGGCAGCGACGAACUGCAGCAAUUCUGCUGGUCUUGUACCAGCAGGACUUGGAAUGGAUGCUAUCCAAACACAGUGAUGAGUAACGACUGGAGGGCAAGUCUGGUGCCAGCAGCUGCGGUAAUUCCAGCUCCAAGGGCGUAUACUAACAUUGCUGCUGUUAAAGCACUUGUAGUCUGCCACUGGGCAGCAGGUCUGCUGGGCGGCCUGGCAUGCGUUCUGAACCCUCCGGGGUGAUGGCGUGUGCUGGGGUAAAACCCCCAGCAGUAUGUCCUGCUCCCGCAUUCAGUGAUGGUUGCGUAGUACUCCAGUUCGAAGUCCCCUUCAGUGGGGAUUGAGGCGGAUUCGCACCCCAAGCAUGCGUGGGGGUAGAGGCGGAGAGCGCUCUGUGCGCGAUCGCUGCCCACCACCGGAGUCCACCAUCAGUGACACCCUGGAAAACUCAGUGUGCUCCAAGCGACCUGCAAAGGCUGGAUGCCUAUCCAUGGAAUGUCAAAGCACCGACCUGAUGUGGCAGAGAUGUUGUGCCGGGCUUGAUGCCCAUUGAAGGACAAUAUGGGUCUGACCCCAGCGUCAGAGAGUUCCUCUUCCGAGAUGUUCAUCAGAUGACUGUGGGUCAGUCUCCAAACGAAGACGAUGGGAUUGCUCAGGGCGGAAGGUACUGCAACGCCAGAGGUGAAAUUCUUAGACCGCUGCAAGACCAACUGCAGCGAAGGCGUUCUGCAAGUGCAUGUUCGUCGAUCAAGAAUGAGAGUGUGGGGAGCGAAGAUGAUCAGACACCGUCGUAGUCCACAACUGUAAACCAUGCCAGCUCGGCAUUGGUGAGGCAAUCAUUGUAUGAACCAUAUCAGUGCCAUGCCCCCUUCAACGAGAAAUCCAAGCCAUUGGGUUCAGGGGGGAGUACUGUCGCAAGGCUGGAACUUAAAGGAAUUGACGGAAUGGCACCACAAGGCGUGGAGUAUGCGGCUUAAUUUGACUCAACACGGGAAAUGUUACCAGGUCAGGACCUUGCCAGGAUGGACAGAUUGAGAGCUCUUUCUUGAUCCUUGGGAUGGUGGUGCAUGGCCGCUCCUGAUUGGUGGAGUGAUUUGUCUGGUUGAUUCCGAUAACGAGUGAGAUAUCUGCCUGCCAAUAGCCCCAGUCUCGCACUUGUAGGGCGGGCCUCAGUGAGGUUCCAGCUUGCUGGUUCAACGCUGCAGGUCCCCCGAGAGUUCUGGGCUGCUUCUCUGAGGUGCUGUGUUCGCUGCCAAGAGCACGCAUGCAAGAG